AAAUGCUACCUAUACACCCAUCAAGACUAAACCUUACCGAAAUUAUUUCUUUAAUUUUUUUUUUCAUAAAAGAAUUAAAAAUAAGAAACGGUGGGGAGGGGUAUUGUGGGAACACAAAACCCUAUCAGAUAAGAAGUGGGUUGCAGGUUAAUUUCUCUUCCUCGAUCACGGAUUUACGAUCUCGUUCUCCAACUCGCACCCAGUCGCUAUAACCAUACAGGUUUUUUUUUGUCUGUGGGCUACGCUUGCUUGUUCUUAAUUUGAUUCUGCAGUUCAAGGUGUGGGUGAGAUGUACAACGGAAUUGGGCUGCAAACCCCAAGGGGGUCGGGAACCAAUGGAUACAUACAAACCAAUAAGUUCUUUGUUAGACCAAAGAGUGGAAAGGUUGCCUAUGAUAGUGGCAAGGGAUUUGAGGGUGACCAGGGUACUGCUGGUGUAACAAAGAAGCCCAAUAGAGAUAUAUUGGAACAUGACAGGAAACGUCAGAUUCAGCUCAAGCUCGUGGUGCUUGAAGAUAAGCUCGUUGAUCAGGGAUACACUGAUGCUGAAAUCUCAGAGAAACUUGAGGAAGCCAGAAAAACUUUGGAAGCUGCUGCAGCGUCUGAGGCUGGUGGUGGGGCCUCUGCCAUAGGUGUCUCUGACAAGAAGGUUUCGAAUACACAGACCCAUCAAAUUGCUGCUAGAAAAGAGAAGCAGAUGGAAACCUUGAGAGCUGCUCUUGGUAUAAGCAUGCCAGAAGUUGAUGUGCAAAAACAGGACAAAGUCCUUGAUUCAGGCACUGAAGAGGUGGAUGAUGAUAAACCAAGAAACACCCAAAAAGAUGAUGAAAAUGAUGAAAGCAUGCACUAUGAAAAAGAUGAAGCUUUCCAAGAUAGGGAGAUCAUGAGGGAAAGACAAACAACCAAACGCAAGCAGCAAGACAGCAAGAAGAGAAGAGAUGGAGAUGAUCCUUCUGAUACAGAUAGUGGUGGAAAGCAUGGAAAGGCUAUUAAGAAAAGUUAUAUUAGGAGUGGCUCAGUUGAUGAUUCUGAUGUUGACACUGAGAAGAAUAAAAAAACUUUGAAGUCUGAGAAAAACAGAAGACAUAAGAGUGGUGCCACUGAUGAUUCUGAUUUUGACACUGACAGUGGUGGAAAACAGAAAAAAGGAAUUAAGAAGUCUUUCAAGAGUAAUUCAGUUGAUUCUGAUUUUGACACUGAGAAGAAGCAAAAAACUUCAAAAUUUAAGAAAAGCAAAAGGCAUGACAGUGAUGAUUCAGGUUCUGAUGAUGAUUUUGAUGUGCGGAGUUCCAAAAAGGAAGCUGAGAAGCAUGUCAAAGCUCAUAAAAGGCAUGACUCAGAUGAUUCAUAUUCUGAUGAUGGUGUACCUAUCAGUAAAACUCAAAAAGGGAAGCAGCAUAUGAAAGCAAGCAGACGGCAUGAUUCUGAUGAUGAAUAUGAUACUGAUAGUGAGAAGGAAAAGAGAAGAAACCAAGUGGAAAAACAGAGGAAUCGGCUGAGUGGGAGCCGCAGCAGAACAGAGAGAAACAGUACUUAUAAGGAGGAUCACAAGAAGACUGACAAAAGACAUGGGAGUGGUGGAAGGUAUGUUGCUUAUAGUGAUUCAGAUUCUGAUAGAGCUAAAAUACACCAAAAGGAAAACAUUGAGACCAAUGAAAGGCAUGGGAGUGGAGGAAGGUAUGUUGCUUAUAGUGAUUCUGGCUCUGACAAAGCUAAAAAACACACAAAGGAAAGCAUUGAGCAAAAUAGGAAAAAUAGAAAGCAUGGUGUUGGCAGGGAUGAUUCUAGUGAAAAAAGAAUAGGGAAGAGUAGAAGGCAUGACAGUGAUGAGGACAGCUCUGAUCGUGAUGACAGGUAUGAUGGGAAAAUUACUAAGCGCAAAGCAACAGAAAAGGACCCAGAGUCUUCCACUGAUGAUAGUGAUGACAGUAUCAGUGAUGAUUCUAAGGAGGAAAGCAGCGACAGUGAUUCAGGCAGCAGUAGUAGUGAUUACAAACAUGAGAGAAAAGAUAUGAAUAAGUCCAUGAGGAAAAGCAAAAGUGGUGAUGGAGCUGAUGUGAACGCCAAAGGUGAGCGCGGUGCGUAUGGAAGUGAUCAUAGAAGAAAGGAAAGAAGUGAUCUCUACAAUGAUGAUGAUGGUGGAUUGGGUGCAUUGAAGAACUUAGAGAACAAACUGUACCAGUCGAGGGGAAAUAUUAUGCAUGGAUCUGGCUAUGGAAAUCAAGAAAUAACAAAAGGUAAAAGAAAGCUUGAAGAUGGACAGGAUGAGCAGCCAGAGUCAAAGUCUAGAAAUCGAAAUUCAGGGAAAGAGGUGAUGCAGAAGAGGGAACAUCGGAAGGAAACUAAAGUUGAAUUUGAGUCAAAUAGUAGACCAGACAAGAGUAAGGAUGAUCAGAAGAGAGAAGAUUAUUCAAGGUUGACUCGAUCUGGAGGAGGGAAUUAUCAGGAUGAUGUAAAAGAUGGAGGCAGAAUUCGAGGUAAAGAUGAUGAGCCAUGGCAUGGAAGUAGGAGGAAUGACAGGGAUCAUGAAAACCAUGGGGGAAAACGAAAGCAUGGUAGGGAUGAAGAGGAGGAUAGAAGGAGAACACACAACAGAGAUGAAGAAAAGAGACUUGAGUAUAGAAGGCAUGAAAAAGAUGAGGAAGAGAGGCAGCAUGCAGGUAGAAGGCAUGAAAAAGAUGAGGAAGAGAGGCAGCAUGCAGGUAGAAGGCACCGAAGUGAGGAGGAAGAAAGGCAGGCAAGCAGAAGGAAUGAAAGUGAUGAACGAAUGUAUUCAUCAAAGAGAGGUAGGGAUGAUGAUUCUCGAUCCAGUAAGAGAAGAAGGUAUGAGAGUGACAAUAGCGAUGACGAUUUGGCAAGGCGUCGAAAAUGAAACUGCUUGAUCUUCAAUCUGGAGGUAUCCAUGGUGAGUGGAUCAGAUGCGAACUUAAUAUGUUUUCUUUUCUAAGUCCUUGAAAUUUGUCUAGAUAAAUAUUUUGAGUGCCUCCUACAACUGUGUAGAUCACCUUUUUAAGUUAAGUAGCAGCAGCAACAAUUUAAUAUAGCUUGUUGGGGUUCUUGCCACUGCCCUGAAUCAGGUUUCUGCAUUAGGUUGAGCACUGUCAGCACUUGCUUAUUAUCCACCAAUGACAAUGUUUAUCUAACCUAUUGAAUAAUAGCGCAAGCAUGUUACUUGCAGUAACAGUUGAUGGCCAUGUAUUUUAUAGGGAAGCAGCGUUCACUUUUUAUUGUAGUGGGCUUAAGUGGUUAACAUUGCUGGUGGAAUUUUUAUACCAUGCAUUCCAUCAAACAAUACUUUCUUCGCCUUGUGAAUGCCAUGUGAUUACACCAACCUCUAUAGUCUCUAGUAGUUUUCUUAAUUUGGUCGGAGUUGAUUUAUCUGUAACCGUGUUAAAGCUGGCUAAAGCCGAAGUGAUGCAGUGUGAAGCAGAGUGAGGUUGGGAAUGUAUGAAUGCGACUCUCUUCCGUACCUCCCUCUCCUCUCUGAAUUCUGAAACCUGUUUGUAAUGCGAGUUAACAUAUCUUGCCGUUUAAUGUUUCAAUGGAUUGAUUGCUAUGUAGAUUAAUUGUUUUCAUUUGGUCCUUGCUUUGUGACUCUUAUAAAAUGAUAGGGAAACUCCUUUUAGUC